UCAUCGGUUGUAUUCGCAACCAUUAUCAUGUACAAUAAAUAUGUG
rfam:Haemonchus contortus, ISE/inbred ISE, WGS project CAVP01000000 data, contig: Hcontortus_33287